rnacentral:tRNA from 1 species
GGAAAUGUGGCUUAGUGGUAGAGUGCUUGCCUAGCAGUCAUGAAGCCCUGGGUUCGAUUCCUCAUUACCA